ensembl:lncRNA
UUUAUCUAAAAUUUAAAUAUUCAUUACAUUUAUAUUACAGUGCAAGACCGAGUUAAGCUCAUCUGAUUCUAGUGUAUAGACAGCUUGGUGAUUAUUUCUGAUGAUGAGAUUCCCGAAACAACCACUCAUGACCUUUUGAAUCUGAGCUCCACACGUAAGUCAUAACAUAAAAUUAUGAAUGUUUCAUGCUGUAAAAGUCUUUCAUACGUGAAUAUAACAUUGUUUGUAUCAUAUUCAGAAGUUGAGGGAAACGUGACUAACAGUGCUUACGACGGAGAUAUUUCAGAUACGAGUGAUGCAAUAGAAGACCAAGAGGAAAUCAUCUCGGAAACCGACAUUCAACAAGACAUCGAACUACAACAGAUCUGUGCAGUGUGGCGUGAAUUCUUCGAAGCAAAGACUGAUUUAUUGGAAAACUUUGGACAGAUUGAUUAUACACUUGAAUCUGGUCGAGGUACAGAUUUUAUCCAUUUACUGUACAGCAUGCUUGAAAAUGUGAAUAGAUGUCUCUCAGUGAGCAUAAAGUUGAUUAGAAAAUUGUAUGAUAGAUAUGGCGCAGAAACGACUGAAAUGAAGUUCGGAUAUAGAGACUAAAAAAAAGAGAACCGAAAAUUCUCCAUUAUCGCAUGAUUUCUUUUAUGAUGGAAACCAGAGUUUUUCAAAUGGUCCGUUAUAUCAUGAUUCGUACACACCCCUGAACCCAUGUUUAACUGAAGCGAUCAACCGGCUGAACGAAAGUUUAAUUCCGUCACACCAAGUCGUUAGUGAGAGACCUAAUCAGAGUCCAAAUUAC